rnacentral:tRNA from 1 species
UCCCUAGUGGCUCAGAUGGUAAAGCGUCUGCCUGCAAUGCGGGAGACCCAGGUUCGAUUCCUAGGUUGGGAA